rnacentral:ncRNA from 1 species
UGAGCAGAAUGAAGCCAGAGGAAACUCUGGUGGAAGUUCGUAGCGGUGUUGACGUGCAAAUCACUCGUCUGACUUGAGUGUAGGGGCGAAAGACUAAUCGAACCAUCUAGUUGCUGGUUCCUUCCGAAGUUUCCCUCAGGAUAGCUGGCAUUUGUUUGUAACAAUUUUAUCCGGUAGAGCGAAUGAUUAGAGGUGUUGGGAACGCAAUGUUCUCAGCCUAUUCUCAAACUUCGAAUGGGUAAGCAAGGCGUUUUGCUUUGAUUUUACGAUGAAAUCGCCCAAUUAGAAUGUAUAAAUGCCUAGUGGGCCAAUUUUGGUAAGCAGAACUGGCGAUGUGGAAUGAACCAAAAGUCAGGUUAAGGUGCCAGACAUUGGCGCUCAUGAAAUACCAGAAAAGGUGUUGGUCGAUAUAGACAGCAGGACGGUGGCCAUGGAAGUUGGAAUCCGCCAAGGAGUGUGUAACAACUCACCUGCCGAAUCGACUAGCCCUGAAAAUGGAUAGCGUUUGAGCUCCAGGCCCAUACCUGACCGUCUCAAUUACGCACUUUUUUUUCGGAAAAGGUGUAAUGAACGUUGAGACGGGUAGGAAGGUCGCGACAGUGUUGCUUUGAAGAGUUUUGAGCGUGAGCUCGCUCGGAGCCGCUGUUG